rnacentral:rRNA from 1 species
AGGUCAAGCUAUAAAGAGCGCAAGGGGAAUGCCUUGGCAUCAGGAGCCGAAGAAGGACGUGACAAGCUGCGAUAAGCUGCGGUGAGCUGCACAUAAGCUUUGACCCGCAGAUUUCCGAAUGGGGAAACCCGACAGAGCAAUACUCUGUCAGCCUGCGUUGAAUCAAAUAGGCGUAGGUGGGGAACCGCCUGAACUGAAACAUCUAAGUAGGGCGAGGAAGAGAAAUCAACAGAGAUUCCGCAAGUAGUGGCGAGCGAACGCGGAAGAGGGCAAACCGAAGGAUUUAUCCUUCGGGGUUGAGGACCGACACAACGGCAGGAUAGGUUAGCCGAACGGUAUGGGAAGGCCGGCCAUAGCGGGUGAGAGCCCCGUAGGCGAAAACCGAAUCCUGUUAGUCGAGUUCCAGAGUACCGCCGGACACGUGAAACCCGGUGGGAAACUGGGGGGACCACCCUCCAACCCUAAAUACUACCUGAUGACCGAUAGAGGAGCAGUACCGUGAGGGAAAGGUGAAAAGGACCCCGGGAGGGGAGUGAAAGAGAACCUGAAACCUUGUGCUUACAAGCACUCAAAGC